AAAGCUGUCUCAGUCAUCCCCGUGACCUGAUCCAGACCCACGAUACGGUCCACUGGGGAGAAGAAAAAAGAGAAGGAUGUGAGCCAAAGUGAAGUCUUUAGCAGGGAAAGAAAAGACACAGUGAGAGUGCAGCAGCACAAGCUUUGUGGAACGAAUGCACAUGGGGACCUGGGACUGUGUGAAGAGCUUUAUGUGCAAGAUCUCACUCGAUUUUCCAUUUCUGAUGGGGUUUUUACAGAAGAGGAGACCAUGCCCCUGGGAGGUAAAGUACCUGCUCAAGUUAUGCAGGUCUUACAUGGAUGCUGGGAGAAAG